UGGAAACUGAUAUGAAAUAUCAGUGUUUCCUGUGAAGCAGAAAAUUCAAUUUCCACUAGACGGUAACAAUUGCACAGUAUUUAUGUGACUUGUGUGUCAAAAUUACCUUGACGUUAUUCUCCUUUCAGCUGCUGAUAAUUGGCUAGAAGGCUUUCCUACCAACAGUGCUGAUCAUUGGCAACUUUCCAAGUUUCUUAGCAGAACCUCAAAAGAACUGAUUGUGAAGAUUUUUGGAAAUUAACGUGUGCUGGAAGAGACGGGGGAGAGCUGGAUGAAGGGGAGGCAAUAUUUUUGCUCGUGGCCAGAACAACCUACGCCAGCUUCCCACAUGAGAAAGGGCAGUUCAAUACAAUAUUACCAGAACAAAAGAUAAUAGAAUGCAUGAAUUGAUUAGAGAAACAAAAAGAGUUCUUCAGGACUAGAAGUGCUGAAUGAUUAUUUUAAUGACUACAUACAUAAUGUGAGGAGAAAAUAAAGAUGUCACUAGUAGGGAGGAAUGCA
rnacentral:lncRNA from 1 species